rnacentral:rRNA from 1 species
AUUGAACGCUGGCGGCAGGCCUAACACAUGCAAGUCGAGCGAGCGGCGGACGGGUGAGUAAUGUCUGGGAAAAUGCCUGAUGGAGGGGGAUAACUACUGGAAACGGUAGCUAAUACAGCAUACCAUCAGAUGUGCCCCGAUGGGAUUAGCUAGUAGGUGGGGUAACGGCUCACCUAGGCGACGAUCCAUAGCUGGUCUGAGAGGAUGACCAGCCACACGGGAACUGAGACACGGUCCAGACUCCUACGGGAGGAAGCAGUGGGGAAUAUUGCACAAUGGGCGAAAGCCUGAUGCAGCCAUGCCGCGUGUAUGAAGAAGGCCUUCGGGUUGUAAAGUACUUUCAGCGGGGAGGCGUUACCCGCAGAAGAAGCACCGGCUAACUCCGUGCCAGCAGCCGCGGUAAUAC